AAAGAAAAAAAUCACCGAAAUCAAGCAUUCAUUAGUGUAUUUCACUUAGAAAAAAACACCUCAGUAUAUUAUUGGACUCACACAUUUGGUAGUUCUUUUACGUAAAAAUACACUACCGGAUUCUAGGAUUCAAUAGUGUAUGUGAUAUGAAAUUGCGAUUUGCAAAAACCGCAAUUGCAUAAAUUGCAAUUGCAUAUUUUUUUUGUUGAUUGGACAUUUUUUUCAAUUUUCAUGAGUUCAUUAAACAAAGACAUCAUUUCCAUAAAAUGAUUCUGAUUCUAGUUUGGGUGCACUCUGCAUUCUACAGAUGUCAGAUGUAUUGGACAACCAUCCUACAAGUAUACAUGAACAAAAUAAUUUUGGUUGACUCAUCCAAUGAACAUAUACGUGAAGUUGGAUUUGGAGGUGGACGACUUCGCAGUGGGAGAAAGAUUUCAGAUACUCCAUCUUGAAAUUUUGUCAACUCAAUUACAACUCUAUUGGAUUGAAUUGCAACAAGAUGUCUCAUUUAUGAAAACGACAUCCACUUUUCUAUAAGUGCCGUAAAAAAUUGUCUAGGAUACAGAGCGUCUUUGAUAACUUUUAAUCACUUCACUGACGAAUAUCAUUUGAAAUAAUCUGACACGUGCUUAUUUAUCUCUCUAAUUAGAUCAUGCUGGACAAUUACAUGAUUCUCCUCACCAUUACAAGAUGUGCAACAACAACCCGGAAUCCAUAAUUUUCAUCACUAGCAUCAUCCACAAUUUUGUCAUUAUAUGAAUGUAUAAAAACAAAUAUAUGAUCAAUAAAGAGAAUUUUUUUUUUUUUUUGGAAAUAGAUUAGGCAAGGGAUUGCCAAUAAGUGUGUUCUUCUUUCUUGGACAUGAUAACUUCGGUUUAGAAAUUGAAUUGUCCGAAUGUAUUGAAUCAAUAUGCUCCCACAAAGAUGGCGAAUGUUUAGUGGACCCAUGUAUUGGCAUAUAGCUAACCUUCUU
rnacentral:lncRNA from 1 species